GACGAACGCUGGCGGCGUGCCUAAUACAUGCAAGUCGAGCGGACCGGAUUGGGGCUUGCCUUGAUUCGGUCAGCGGCGGACGGGUGAGUAACACGUGGGCAACCUGCCCGCAAGACCGGGAUAACUCCGGGAAACCGGAGCUAAUACCGGAUAACACCGAAGACCGCAUGGUCUUCGGUUGAAAGGCGGCCUUUGGGCUGUCACUUGCGGAUGGGCCCGCGGCGCAUUAGCUAGUUGGUGAGGUAACGGCUCACCAAGGCGACGAUGCGUAGCCGGCCUGAGAGGGUGACCGGCCACACUGGGACUAAGACACGGCCCAGACUCCUACGGGAGGCAGCAGUAGGGAAUCUUCCGCAAUGGGCGAAAGCCUGACGGAGCGACGCCGCGUGAGCGAAGAAGGCCUUCGGGUCGUAAAGCUCUGUUGUGAGGGACGAAGGAGCGCCGUUCGAAGAGGGCGGCGCGGUGACGGUACCUCACGAGAAAGCCCCGGCUAACUACGUG
rnacentral:rRNA from 1 species